UACAGAGGUCUCAAGCGUUGUUCGGAUUCAUUGGGCGUAAAGGGCUCGUAGGCGGUUUGUCGCGUCGGGAGUGAAAUCCACUGGCUUAACUGGUGGCUUGCUUUCGAUACGGGCAGACUGGAGGUAUGCAGGGGAGAACGGAAUUCCUGGUGUAGCGGUGAAAUGCGCAGAUAUCAGGAGGAACACCGGUGGCGAAGGCGGUUCUCUGGGCAUGUUCUGACGCUGAGGAGCGAAAGUGUGGGGAGCGAACAGG
rnacentral:rRNA from 1 species